AAACUUUCAACAACGGAUCUCUUGGUUCUGGCAUCGAUGAAGAACGCAGCGAAAUGCGAUAAGUAAUGUGAAUCGCAGAGUUCAGUGAAUCAUCGAAUCUUUGAACGCACAUUGCGCCCCGUGGUAUUCCGCGGGGCAUGCCUGUCCGAGCGUCAUC
rnacentral:rRNA from 1 species